GCCGGGUGUGGUGGCGGGCGCCUGUAAUCCCAGCUACUCGGGAGGCUGAGGCAGGAGAUUCACUUGAACCCAGGAGGUGGAGGUUGCACUGAGCUGAGAUCAUGCCACUGCACUCCAGCCUGGGUGACAGAGUGAGACUCCGUCUCAA
rnacentral:SRP_RNA from 1 species